AGCGCAGGGACUCUCACCUCCUCCUCGUGGGACCCCUUCUCGCCCGCGCGUGGACCCUCGCCGCGCUCUUGCUUGACAGUCACCACGAAGCCCCCAUGCUGGCCCGGAGCCUUGCCGCCCGCCGGCCUGGAGCCAAGGAUACCGCGGUCAGCCCCGUCCCAAGAAUCUCCCCUCCCCCAAAAGCCCACCCCAGGGCGUUUUGACCCCCGACGGCGGGGCUGCAGCGAGAGUGCAUGAGCCCGAGGAGGCAGGGUCUGAUGGGGUCAGUAUCCGGGGAAGGUGGGACAAGCGGGGCUCCUGGGAGGGACUGGAGGCCGAGGUGGGGGGUGCAGAAUUGGGUGGAGGGAGAAGCCCCCUGACCCAGGUGGGGGAGUCAAGACUCCGGCGGGAGGGACUGGGUCAGGGGUUCAGGAGCUAGGGCUGCAGCCGGGAAAGUAGCGAGGGCGUGGGGAGGGGAUCAGUGCACUCACGCGGCGGCCGCGCCGGGCUGCUUGGGGCCGUGGGACAUGGCCGCUCCGGGCCGGACCUGGAACACGGACGCGGGCGGAGGUGAGUAGCGCCCGGGCUGCCCGAUGGCAGACCGCGAACUGGGGUACCCCGCGAUGGAGAGCCCCGGGAUGCCGGGCCCGGAGCGCUGGGGGGGCCGGAUCCAGGGGCAGGGAAGUCCUCGAGGGCGGGCGCCCCAAGAAUCCUUUGUUGGGCGAUUGCCCCCCCCGGGAGGCCUGGGCCGGUUUCCCCCGGGCCAGGAAAGACCCCGGCCCGGCCCUGGGACCCCUGCACCCCCGCCCCCUCUCAGGGCCCGGAGUUCCGCGGCUGUUUUCACCUCCAAAGAAACUUUCCCGGACCUCCCGACUGCGCGACGCUCCAACCAACCGCCCGCAGCCCGCCCCCGUCGGCCGCCCCGCCCCUCCCCGCCCCCGGCAUGCUAAUGAAGGCCUCGGCGAACGGUCCCAUUGGGUGAGACCUUCCCCCCGGGCGAGCCCAUGCAGAUACCGAUCGGCGCGCCGGCCGGCGAUUGGUUGGGGAGGUUGCUGAGUCGCGUGGGAGGUUGGUAAGGAAGGCUGCGGGCGGUGCGUCAAGUUCGGCUGCGCUCGGCCGCGCUCGGGACCAAUCGGGAGCGAGUGGCGGACUUGCCGGGCGGAGCCUCUUAAAGGGCCAGUAGGAGAGGCGCGGACUCCUCCUCCCUCUCUGAAGGCAAGACUCCCAGCCGCUGCCGGAUGGGGCGACCGGCGGAUCCGGGUCGGGCCCCGCCCCGGUUGCCAUGGGGACGGAGAUGUCUAGGAGGCAGAUGCAGCUGCUUUGGAAAACAGACUGGCAUUUCCUCAAAGGGUUAAAUAAAUGUGGAAUCACCAUGCAAUUCAGCAGUUCACUCCUAGGAAUAUACUCCAGACAACUGAAAACAGGUGUUCAAACAAAAGCGUGUACACAAGCGUCGGUAGCAGCGUGAUUCAUAAUAGCCAAAAAGUGAAAACAACUCAAACGUCUGCUAAUGAUGCAUGGAUCGAUGACGGGAUAUAUCCUUACAACAGAAUAUUAUCCGCCAUGGGCCGGGCGCAGUGGCUCACGCCUGUAAUCCCAGCACUUUGGGAGGCAGGCGGAUCACUUGAGGUCAGGAGUUCGAGACCAGCCUGGCCAACAUGGUGAAACUCCAGUUCUAUUAAAAAUACAAAAACUAGCCAGGCGUGGUGGUGCACGCCUGUAAUCCCAGCUACAUGGGAGGCUGAGGCAGGAGGAUCCCAUGAACUGGGAGGCAGAGGUUGCAGUGAGCCAAGAUUGUGCCACUGCACUCCAGCCUGGGCAACAGAGCAAGACUACGUCUCAAAAAAAAAAAAAAAGAAUAUUAUCAGCCAUAAAAAAAAGGAGCGAGUCUCUGACACAAGUCACAGCAUGGAUGUACCUAGAAGACAUCACACUCAGUGAGAGACGCCAGACACAAAGGUCACACAGUGUGUGAUCAGAAUGUUCAGGAAAGGCCCAUCCACAGAGACAGGAGGGGGACGUGUGGGUGCCAGUGGGUGGGGAAUGACCACUGAGAGGGAUGCGGUUUUCAUUUGGGUGAUGAAAGUAUUUUACAAUUUGAUUUCAGUGAUGGCUGCGUGACUCUGGAAAUAUAUUACAAACCAUGGAAUUGUAUGCUCUAAA